UACGAAGGGGGCUAGCGUUGCUCGGAAUCACUGGGCGUAAAGCGCACGUAGGCGGCUUUCUAAGUCAGGGGUGAAAUCCUGGAGCUCAACUCCAGAACUGCCUUUGAUACUGGAGAUCUAGAGUCCGGAAGAGGUGAGUGGAACUGCGAGUGUAGAGGUGAAAUUCGUAGAUAUUCGCAAGAACACCAGUGGCGAAGGCGGCUCACUGGUCCGGUACUGACGCUGAGGUGCGAAAGCGUGGGGAGCAAACAGGGAUUAAGAA
rnacentral:rRNA from 1 species